rnacentral:rRNA from 1 species
UACGUAGGGGGCAAGCGUUGUCCGGAUUUAUUGGGCGUAAAGAGCGUGUAGGCGGCUUUGCAAGUCCGUUGUGAAAACUCGAGGCUCAACCUCGAGACGCCGGUGGAAACUGCAAAGCUAGAGUCCGGAAGAGGAGAGUGGAAUUCCUGGUGUAGCGGUGAAAUGCGCAGAUAUCAGGAAGAACACCAGUGGCGAAGGCGGCUCACUGGCCCGGUACUGACGCUGAGGCGCGAAAGCGUGGGGAGCAAACAGG